GAAGAGGAAGAAAAGGCCAACGGACACGGGAGCAGAUACAGCUUCUCCCUGUAAGCCAAAGAAAGGCAAAUUCCAACCACAAAGGGAAGCUACUCUGGUCUCCGGGAUUGGCAAAGAGGAAAAUGAGUGACAGGACCUGAUGUGUCAGGGAAGGAAGGGGAGGGCCGGCUUCUGCGGCACUGCUGAUGGGAGUGGUAACUGGGGUCCUGAUCUCACGGUUGACGUGGCCCUCACGUGAGCUGGAGCCGACGCGUGCAGACGUCCUUCUAAUUCUAGUCUUCGUUUGGUCCGGUUGCACUCUCCCUAUCGCCCAGAGGGCGAGAGGGCCUGUGGCCUGGGGAAGGAGGACGAGGUUACUGCCUGGAUCCCAGCAGGUUUGUGUGUGGAUGGGCGUUGCCAGGGGAUCCCUGCGGCGCGGGCAGUGAAGGGUGGAGGCCGAAGGGGAGCAGUUCGCUUUCUCCAAACCCUUGCAGUAUUCCUGUCCCUUUCUACAACAAAAUGGUGGACCUUGGGGCCGGAUUCCAGGGGCGACCCCAGACUCGGGCGUGGUGGGACCUUUAACAUCCAGGGCCUUGAAUCAGGGAGGGCAGAUAUUCGGAUUCAUAUCCUGUGUGCUGGUCCAUCUACCAAGCCAGAAUCUUGAGGCUGUGCGUCUGUCUGACAGUCAUUCCCCUUUUCUUUCAGUAGGGCGCUGUGCCAUUUGGGAACAAAGGAAUAGUCUGCCUGGAAUCCCUGCAGAUCUUGGGGCCGGAGGCCAGUCCAACCCUUGGAGCAGGAAGAAACGCAAAGUUGUCAAGAACCAAGUAGGUCAUAAUAAGGGUGAUGGCAUUAUUUGGGGUGGAGCAUGGUGGCGACUGCAACUCGAGUGGGCCCGUGGACCCCUCCACAUCUCCCUUCUUCCCUUCUUCCCUACACCAUUUCGGAUCUUGGAAAAUAAAUUGCUCUGCAGGUACAAGACAGGGAAGCAAAUAGCUGAGAAGGGGUGGGCGUCAAGAGAGUCCAGGGGUUGGGAGGAUGUUACUCCAAAUUACUGUUUGAGGUACAGUGUCCUUGGUGUUGGUCCGUCGACCAAGCACUCACUUCUGAAGUUUGUCAGUCUUGAAGGUUUAGUGGAAGCAGAAACCGAGGUAAGGGAGGUAAGAAAUUGCUCCCGAGCAAAGGUAGUUG
rnacentral:lncRNA from 1 species